rnacentral:rRNA from 1 species
GUAAACGAUGUCGAUUUGGAGGUUGUUCCCGUGAGGAGUGGCUUCCGGAGCUAACGCGUUAAAUCGACCGCUGGGGAGUACGGCCGCAAGGUUAAAACUCAAAUGAAUUGACGGGGGCCCGCACAGCGGUGGAGCAUGUGGUUUAAUUCGAUGCAACGCGAAGAACCUUACCUACUCUUGACAUCCAGAGAAUUUAGCAGAGAUGCUUUAGUGCCUUCGGGAACUCUGAGACAGGUGCUGCAUGGCUGUCGUCAGCUCGUGUUGUGAAAUGUUGGGUUAAGUCCCGCAACGAGCGCAACCCUUAUCCUUUGUUGCCAGCACAUUAUGGUGGGAACUCAAAGGAGACUGCCGGUGAUAAACCGGAGGAAGGUGGGGAUGACGUCAAGUCAUCAUGGCCCUUACGAGUAGGGCUACACACGUGCUACAAUGGCGUAUACAAAGAGAAGCGACCUCGCGAGAGCAAGCGGAACUCAUAAAGUACGUCGUAGUCCGGAUUGGAGUCUGCAACUCGACUCCAUGAAGUCGGAAUCGCUAGUAAUCGUAGAUCAGAAUGCUACGGUGAAUACGUUCCCGGGCCUUGUACACACCGCCCGUCACACCAUGGGAGUGGGUUGCAAAAGAAGUAGGUAGCUUAACCUUCGGGAGGGCGCUUACCACUUUGUGAUUCAUGACUGGGGUGAAGUCGUAACAAGGUAACCA